UACGUAGGGGGCUAGCGUUGUCCGGAAUCAUUGGGCGUAAAGCGCGUGUAGGCGGUCCGGUAAGUCCGCUGUGAAAGUCGGGGGCUCAACCCUCGAAUGCCGGUGGAUACUGUCGGGCUAGAGUGCGGAAGAGGCGAGUGGAAUUCCUGGUGUAGCGGUGAAAUGCGCAGAUAUCAGGAGGAACACCGAUUGCGAAGGCAGCUCGCUGGGACGUCACUGACGCUGAGACGCGAAAGCGUGGGGAGCAAACAGG
rnacentral:rRNA from 1 species